rnacentral:rRNA from 1 species
UACGUAGGGGGCAAGCGUUGUCCGGAAUCAUUGGGCGUAAAGCGCGUGUAGGCGGCUCGGUAAGUCCGCUCUGAAAGUCCAGGGCUCAACCCUGGGAUGCGGGUGGAUACUGCCGAGCUUGAGUCCGGAAGAGGCGAGUGGAAUUCCUGGUGUAGCGGUGAAAUGCGCAGAUAUCAGGAGGAACACCAAUGGCGAAGGCAGCUCGCUGGGACGUGACUGACGCUGAGACGCGAAAGCGUGGGGAGCAAACAGG